UGAGGAAUAUUGGGCAAUGCCCGGAAGGGUGACCCAGCAACGCCGCGUGGAGGAUGAAUGUCGUAAGAUUGUAAACUCCUGUUAGAGGGGAAGAAUAAUUCCGAUUGAAUCGGAACUUGACUGUACCCUCAGAGAAAGCCCCGGCUAACUCCGUGCCAGCAGCCGCGGUAAUACGGAGGGGGCAAGCGUUGUUCGGAUUUACUGGGCGUAAAGGGCGUCUAGGUGGCUUUGUAAGUUGGGCGUGAAAGCCCUCGGCUUAACCGAGGAAUUGCGCUCAAAACUACAAGGCUUGAGUGUGAGAGAGGAAAGCGGAAUUCCUGGUGUAGCGGUGAAAUGCGUAGAUAUCAGGAGGAACACCGGUGGCGAAGGCGGCUUUCUGGCUCAACACUGACACUAAAGCGCGAAGGCUAGGGGAGCAAACAGGAUUAGAUACCCUGGUAGUCCUAGCAGUAAACGAUGUGCACUAGGUGUGGGAAGUAUCGACUCUUUCUAUGCCGAAGUUAACGCAUUAAGUGCACCGCCUGGGGAGUACGUUCGCAAGAAUG
rnacentral:rRNA from 1 species